CAUUUGCGGGUAUACAAAACAAGGGGCAGUGUCUACUGUGUAAACAAAAAGGGCACCAUCUGGCCAAGACAACAUUAUCGCGCUUGUCUACUGAAUUUUUCUGAUCACUUAGUCGACUUUUGUCUUAUUACCAAAAUUAGAGACUUUGCUAAAGCGCCAUAAGCUAAUGUACUACUUAUUCAAAUGUGUUAAGUACUCCAAAAAAUUUUAAAUCCUUUUAAAUAUAAGUUGCUUGUGCAUAUAAGUUGUAAAUGCCACUAAAUCAGAUUGUAAAUAAAAUUGCUUACUCGGCCUUGUAUAUUAAUUAUAGAA